UACGUAGGGUGCGAGCGUUUGUCCGGAAUUACUGGGCGUAAAGAGCUCGUAGGUGGUUUGUCGCGUUGUUCGUGAAAACUCACAACUCAAUUGUGGGCGUGCGGGCGAUACGGGCAGACUGGAGUACUGCAGGGGAGACUGGAAUUCCUGGUGUAGCGGUGGAAUGCGCAGAGUAUCAGGAGGAACACCGGUGGCGAAGGCGCCGCUCUGGGCCGAAACUGACGCUGAGGAGCGAAAGCGUGGGGAGCGAACAGG
rnacentral:rRNA from 1 species